rnacentral:rRNA from 1 species
AGUAACGCGUGGGUAACCUGCCCUUAAGUCUGGGAUACCAUUUGGAAACAGAUGCUAAUACCGGAUAAAAGCUACUUUCGCAUGAAAGAAGUUUAAAAGGCGGCGUAAGCUGUCGCUAAAGGAUGGACCUGCGAUGCAUUAGCUAGUUGGUAGGGUAACGGCCUACCAAGGCGAUGAUGCAUAGCCGAGUUGAGAGACUGAUCGGCCACAUUGGGACUGAGACACGGCCCAAACUCCUACGGGAGGCAGCAGGC